rnacentral:rRNA from 1 species
CUCGAAAGUAUGGGUAGCAAACAGGAUUAGAUACCUGGUAGUCCAUACCGUAAACGAUGAAUGCUAAGUGUUGGAGGUUUCCCCUUCAGUGCUGCAGCUAACGCAUUAAGCAUUCCGCUGGGGAGUACGGCCGCAAGGCUGAAACUCAAAGGAAUUGACGGGGGCCCGCACAAGCGGUGGAGCAUGUGGUUUAAUUCGAAGCUACGCGAAGAACCUUACCAGGUCUUGACAUACUAUGCAAAUCUAAGAGAUUAGACGUUCCCUUCGGGGACAUGGAUACAGGUGGUGCAUGGUUGUCGUCAGCUCGUGUCGUGAGAUGUUGGGUUAAGUCCCGCAACGAGCGCAACCCUUAUUAUCAGUCGCCAGCAUUAAGUUGGCACUCUGGUGAGACUGCCGGUGACAAACCGGAGGAAGGUGGGGAUGACGUCAAAUCAUCAUGCCCCUUAUGACCUGGGCUACACACGUGCUACAAUGGAUGGUACAACGAGUUGCGAACUCGCGAGAGUAAGCUAAUCUCUUAAAGCCAUUCUCAGUUCGGAUUGUAGGCUGCAACUCGCCUACAUGAAGUCGGAAUCGCUAGUAAUCGCGGAUCAGCAUGCCGCGGUGAAUACGUUCCCGGGCCUUGUACACACCGCCCGUCACACCAUGAGAGUUUGUAACACCCAAAGUCGGUGGGGUAACCUUUAGGAACCAGCCGCCUAAGGUGGGACAGAUGAUUAGGGUGAAGUCGUAACAAGGUAACCA